CACACCUUAUGUGUAGACGUGUUUUUUAUGUGGACUGCUUUCUCCAUUAAAUAUAUGACACGUCCUAGCCGGGCAGAGAAAUUCUCCCUGCUUCUCUAUACUUUGUUACAUCUAUCUUGCCAUUCACCCCACAGCCUACAUUCCACAGUGCUAAGAAUCUCAGCUUCUUGCAGACAUCUUAGCCUUCAGUUUACAACUAGCCACUGCUGAGAGGAGUUAGCAGCAGAAAGAAACUAUGUGCGAUGAAGGGUGGGGUGGGAAAAAGCACUCUCUUAUUAAAAUAUUUGUUAUGUAACUUCAACCAAUACACGUCACCUACUGAGUAAAGGAUAUUGUUCAUUCUGAGCAAUUACUCAAAUUGUUUCACAGUGUGUUCUAUUUAUUUGUAUAAGCAUCGUUAAUAUGCAAACUGAAUCAUCCCUUGGAAACCUGAAAGUGAAUUUUGUGAUAAUACAAGGAAUCCUAGGGUAAUCAUACCAGAUGUCUUCUGCAUGCCUUAAUUUACAAAUGCCAACAAUAAAAAGGAGGAAGAAGGAGCCAGGAAGAUUGGAUGCAGUAGCCACCAAGGAACCCUGUCGAUGGCAUCUGCUUGGCUUCUAGGGAGGCCUCCGGAAGUUUAUAAUCAUGGUGAAAAGUGAAGCUGGAGCAGGCACUUCACAUGGUGAAAGCAGGAGCAAGACACAGUGAAAUGGUGCAAGUGCCGAACACUUUAAAAUGACCAGAUCUCACAAGAACUCACUAUCACGAAGACAGCACCAAGCCGUGAGGGAUCUGCCCCCAUGAUCUGAACACCUCCCAUCGGGCCCCACCUACAGCACUGGGGAUUAGAGUUCAACAUGAAAUUUGGGCAGGGACAAAUAUCCAAACUAUCCCACCAUCUGAAACACAUGGAGACUAUAUCAGUCAGGGUUGGGUCUGGAAAACAGAAGCUGCACUAGGAUAUACUGAGUAAGAGAAAUGUAACUCUAAGAAUUAAAGGCUUACACAACCACAGAGGCUGGGGGAGUAAAAGUUAGGAAGGCUGUUUUAAGGAAAAAUGAAUGCACAAGGAUCCCUCAACAAAAACUGCCAGUGAUGGUCUUAGUUUCCUGAAGCACAGAAAUGAACAAUUCUCAGGUAGAAGAAUUGAACCAAUUUUCAGCCAGAACCACUGAAAAGAACAAUUGAUGAUCCCAUAUGCCAGAAAUAUUGAAACAAAUAAUUUUCCUGAGGAAACUUAGCAGCUUCUUGCAAACUCCGUAUCUAUUGUUGCCAGUGUUCCAACCUGCAGCAGCCAGGUUUUUCUUCUCUUUCGUCUUCCAAAUUUUAUGCAAAGCCCACUCAUUGCUGAAAUCCAACCAUAUCCUUCUGGUAAUGGAGUCUGAAAAAUGUAGUUUCCAUGCUUUAUGCCCUUCAGACACAGAACAAAGCUUAGCAGAGAGGGGAUAAUAGUGAGUAUCAUCAGAGAAUAUUCUACAAGGAGACACAUUGACUCUGCACAUAUAGGGCAUGCCAGUUACAAUAUACCACUACUUGCAAUUUUUCUAAUUUGUGUCCACAGUGCAAAAUAUACUUCAUGUAGUGAAUACUGCAGUGCUCUGCCCAGAUCCUUCAUCGAAUUUGAUGUACUGGUGCACGGUUAUCAGCCUCACCGGCAAUUGCCCUCAGCCAUAGAUUCUUCCCUGUCCAAGUUUAAGCCUCCUUCAUAGGGAGCUUUCUAUAUCUAACUACCUGAUGGAGAGAUACAAAGACUCAGUGACCCUGCCUCAACCUGUGAUACUUUGGCCAUCUGUGCAGGAUUUUCUGAGACCAAAGUUUCUAUCACAGUGUGAGUCAGCUUCUCCCUCUGCCCAACUCUGCCUUCCUCACAUCCUAGAGGUGUAUCUUCCUUGAGCGCUCCCAGCUACACAUUCUGCUUCCGGCUUUUUAUCCAAGUCUCUUUCUAGCAAACCCAACCUAAUGUAUGUGCUACAAACUUUAAUUGGAUUGCAAAAAAUGUUUGUCAUGUUGAAAAAAUAGAAGUACAAUUAUAAAAGUAAGAGUAUAUAAUUGGAAAGGUAAUUUAGUAAAUGCAUACUGAUGGCACAAAAGUGAUUAUAUAUCCAAAUGGAAGUAAUUCCAUGUAUAUUGCUAAAAUUGCUUUCAAUAAACUGUAAGUACCUAGGAAUUUUUUGGAGGAGCUAUUUUUAGGUAACUUUUCUUUUUCUAGUCAGUGUAAGUUGCUCACUGUAAGUAUUUACAACUCGUUUCUGAGAAAUUGUUAGCAUGUUUGCUACAGCUUCUUAUAGCUCUACCAAUUUAGUGCUCAGUCAUAUAUGUGUGUGUGUGUAUAUAUGUAUAUAUAGUGUAUACACAUAUAUACACACACACAUAUACCUUAUUACAUGGAAAGGUUUCCAUAAGUUAUCCAUAACCUACAAAUCUACAUUGAGAUGUGUUGUCAAAUUCACCAAUGUUAAAGUAGCAGCCAGUUAUCAAGCAUUUUGUUAGGUGGAAAUAAAUAUAUGUAUAUCCUGGUUUGCUUGGCACAGUCCAAAUAAGAGUCAAUUAGUAACUGUUAAUUAUUUUCGUGCCUCCCUCUUUAUUCUGAUGUCCAUCCUGGUUUGAAAGAUGUAUCAUAUUUUCUCUCUGAAUAGAUGGCAUAAUUUUUAUUCUCUGAGAAUUAAUUGGGAAGGCUCGACAUAACAAAUACUGAGUACACUCAUUAGUGUGGAUUUUUAAAUUAUGGUCCUUACCCUGAAGAAACUCACCCAACAACAGCACUCACUCUCCCCACACAACACACAUGUAAAAAUCAUGCCAACAAUAUGUGAGUUAAGUUUUCUUGUUAUGUCUCCUAUUUAAGUGUCUUUGGUUCCAAAAAAAGAAACUAACUCAGGCUGUUUUUAAAUAAAUAAAUAAAUGGAAUUUACUGUAACUAUAUGAGUUAUUUCAAGAGUCAAAGAUAGGGCACGACGCGGUGGGUCCUGCCUAUAAUACCAGCACUUUGGGAGGCUGAGGUGGGCGGAUCACUUGAAUCUAGGAAUUCGAGGCCAGCCUGCCCAACAUGGCAAAACCCCAUCUCUACAAAAUUUUUUUAAAAAUUAGCGUGGCAUAGUGGUGCACACCUGUAGUCCCAGCUUCUCUAUUCAGGAAGCUGAGGUGGGAGGAUGGCUUGAGCCUGGGAGGCAGAGGUUGCAGUGAGCUGUGAUCAUGCCAAGGCACUCAAGCCUGGGCAACACAGCAAGCCCCUGUCUAAAAAAAUCGAAAAACAAAAACAGAAAACAAAGGUAGGCCACAGAAAGAACAGGAAUCAGUUCAACUCUGAAGAUUUGUUAAUAAUGUAACAGGAAUAAAUGAAACAUCAGCAGGAUGAUCCAGCUCCCACGGUGUUUAUUUUUCAUAUAUUAGACUAUCAUUGGUAAUGUUCCUACCCCUUGACCAAGACAGGACCUUAAAGAAAAUUGAUUAAAUUUGAAAUUAAAGCUUCUCAUUUAUGCUCUGGCAGUUUUUCUGACAACUGGAAGGCACAUAUGAUAACCAGAGCUCCAGUAGUUAUUGUGGACCCUGAGCUGACAUAAUAAAAUAAAUGGAGUAAAAACAGAAAACAAGCUCUUGGUAAUGAUGAACCCACCAUCACCACACCAGCCUCCGCCAUACUACCUCUGGACUAUACAUGAGAAGAAACUAAGUAUAUAGACAGAUAUAUAAUUUGCUUAAGACAUUGUUAUUUUGCAUUUUCUUUUACAGGCAGCCAAAUUUUAUUCAUUUGAUAUGUUGGAAAGGAGAUCUUGAAGCAAAGAAGAUGUAAAGAAAAACUUGUGUUUGCCCACUUGUGUUCCCAACAAGAGUUAUAAUAUUAGAUAGAUCAAAUUUUAAAAAGAAAGAGACAGGGAGAGAAAGAAAAAGGGAAGGAAGGAAAGGAGGGAAGAUGGGUGGGAGGGAAGAAAGGAGGAAGGGAGGGAGAGAUGGGGAGAAGAGAGAGAAAGGGAGAAAAUACAAUGAAACGUUUUUGGUAGCAUAAUGACUCUAAGUUCAAAAAAUAAAGAGGGAAAAGAGAGUACUUCCAUUAAAAAAAAAAUUAGGAUUCAGAGUUUAAGCAGCAACUGUGAAAGAAAAUAUGUCAGCGAUCUAGCUAUGCCUUCAUUUUCAUCUGCCAUUUUUGAGGUGAAUAAUUAUACAUUCUUCUACUUUGAAAACACCUCCUGUGUCAAGAAAUUUAAAUUAAAAGAACAAAUGUUUACAUUGGUAGAUUGCUAGAAGUUAAUUUAUAGAGAGCCAAAAUAUUAAUUUUAAGAAAAAUGAAGUGUAGUGCCAUAGUAUUAAUUUGCAGGGAUGCCUGGGGACAGCUGUUUCAAACUGUUAGAUUUAGUGGCUUAGCAAGUAUUGUAGGCACUUAGCAAGUAAAGUGCCGUUUAAAAAAAUCAGACGCUCCAAAGCAGGCAAAGACAGACUCAGAAAAUUCAUACUCGGUUAUCUACAGAGAAUCCCCAUCUAAAAGUAAAUUACCUCUGUGUUUUUAAGUGUCCAAUAAUAUAGAAAUCUUCCUGGUCUUAAAAGUCAACAAUUACAUCAUUGUAAACCCAGACUUUAAAUUUUUGAAGUCUGUGAGCUGUCAACUGACACAGGUGUCCAGGAGAUGCCACAGAGUAGAGUUUAUGACCCUAUCUGCUACAGCUUUAGGUGGUCAGACAACCAUAAAGCUGCAACUGGUACACAGCCCAUGUUCUGAAGCUUUCUGAUGAAAGUAAAUAAUUGUAUGAUGAAAAGAGCAGGGCAAUCAUGUGUGCCCUCUCCCCACUGCACAUUUCUUACCCAUGCCACAAACCUACCUUAACCAACCUUUCCCCAAACAAGCAAAUGCACUCAGCUAUGACUGAUCUAGUCACAGUUCCAGGAAAGCCUCCUUGUCCCUAAGGGAAGACUAAAAUAAUCAAAAGCCUCUUCUCCAAUUCUCUGUGCAUGAUUACCCAGAGACAGCAUCUCACAGUCCUUGAUACCUAGUUAAACCCCUGUAGAUACACUGUUGAGUUUUCAAAAAAGUAAAAACAAAUCUGCAGAAUCCAAACUCAAAGGAGCUGAAGAUGAUACUGGUGCAUUCUCACUGCUACUUCACCUAGUUUGGGAACUUUAGCUAAGUUCAGUAACAUAAAAUGAACUCACAGGUUCAGAAAAUAAGGUUUGGAUUCAUACAAACUUAGAAGUUGGGGUUCUCAACAAUCUAUAUCCUCAGGCGAAGAGUGAACUAAAUAUUUAAAAGUCACCAUCAGUGACUUAAAGUUACAAGGAAGCAUGUCUUGAACUGGCUUUGGAAAACAUCUCCUUUGAGAAUUCAGAAUAUCAGGUCUGCAUUCCUGUGGUUUGCAACUGUGAAUUUAUAAAAGCUGUGAUAUAUUACCCAAAAAGAGAAGUUAACAUAAAAAGCUGGCAGCAAUAAAGUCUAUCCUUUGGAAAAGUGUGAACAUAAAAAGCAUCAAUGGAUUUCCACAAAUAUCUAUAUUUAUUGAUGCAAAUCAAUAGGUACAAAAUACAUAAGCAAAUAAGGAAUAGAGAAUCAGCAGACAAAAUAAGCCUUAGAAGUUGUCCACAGAUAAUGAAAUAAUCACAUGCAAAAUAAAGAGGUAGAAAUAAAGUAUUUAACAGCACAAACUCUGCAGUCACAUGACGUAACUUCGAAUCUUGUAUGACUAACUUUAUGACAGUAGAAAAGUUUUCUGUGCCUUCAUUACCUUAUUAAUAAAAGAAGUUGAUAUGGGUUAACAUGUAUAUAGUGCUGAAAUGCCUAUGACAUGUUAAUUUCUAUAUAAGUAUUAGGAACUACCAUUAAUAAUAAUUUUAAUGAAAUUGAGUUUAAAAAUCAUAAAAAAUACUAUAAAAGUAGACUAAAUAAAUUUUAACCCAAUACAGCUUCAAUGAAUUGACCUGCUAAAUAUUUUGAGAAAGUUUCCCUCCCAGAAGGAUAUUGGUCUAUAAUUUUCAUUUCAUGUAUAUUUGUUGGGUUUUGUUAUCAGGGUUAUAUUGCCCUCAUAAAGCAAAUAAGGAAGUGUUUCUUCCUCCUCUAUUUCUGAAAGAGUUUGUGUGAGAAUAGUAUUAUUUCUCCCCUUAAAUAGUUGAUAGAAUUUGUGACUGAAGUCAUCUAGGCUGUGAUUUACUUUAUGGGGGAAGUUUUGAAUAACAAAUUCAAUUAAUAUGUAAAUACAUAAUAUAGAAAUAUAUACUUAUAUUUUGUGUUUUAUCUUCUGUCAGUAUUAAUAAGCAGUUUUUAUAUAUUUUUUAUUUUCUGAGUUGUCAAAUUUGUUGGUAAAAAGUUGUUCAUAAUAUUAUUAUUCUUGUGACACUUGUAAGAUCUAUAAUACUAUACUAUCUUUCAUUACUGAUAUUACUAAUUGUUUUCUUGAUCAGUCUUCUGGUAGUUUAUAGAUUUAUUAAUAUUUUUAAAAAUCAAUUUUUGGCUUUGUCACUUUUCUCUAUGGUUUCAAUGUUUCUAGUUUAUUAAUGCUUUCUCUCAUGUUUAUUAUUUCUUUCAUUUUAUUACUUUGGUUUAAUUUACUCUUUCUUUACUAGUUUCUUAAUGUAGAAAACAAGGUCUUGAAUUUCAAUUUAUUUCCUCCUUUCUACAUAAGUAUUUUCAGCUCUACAUUUGACUCUAAAAGUUUUUAUCUACUAUAAUUGUAACAUAUAGGUUAUCUUAGGAUUGUUAUUGUUGACUGUUUUUAUCUUGAGUACGGGUCACAUUUUUCUUCUCAUGCUUACUAAUUUAUACAACAGGACAUAAUAAAUGACACUGUAGAGCUUCUGAAUUACUAUGUUUGUCUGAAGAAUGCCAAUUUAUAUUUCAAGCAGGCAGUUUGGCUGGGCUCAAAUUCUGAAUUAUUUAAGAUUUUAGAUACUGCUUUCUCCAACCCAGGUCCCCUGUGGCCCAAACAUUACAUUAGUAAUUAGCAAGAAGUUUGUGAAAUUUGAGAGAUUCUCAAAUUUCUCAUUCCUCUGUGGUUCCUUCCUAGGGAAGUCCCUUCCUUUCGCAAGUUUCUUUUGAAUUUUAUGACUUCUUUGCUCACAAAUCUUACCUACUGUACUUUGUCUUUCAUAGACUGCUCUUUAAUUUUGUAAAGCUCUGGUAAAUUAUUUUCUCUUAGAGAGUUCUUAGAGGCUUCUGUUGUGGAGAACAUUUUGGGUAUAUUUCAAAACAGUUACUUGUCCGACCAGAAACACAAGGUGAUUUUUUUGGUCUAAUUUUGGUCACUUCCUGGGGCUUUCAAAGAGCUGUGGGGUUUGUUUAUUUUUUGAAAAUAAAUAUGAGUUUUGUCCAGGAAGGUCAUUCCACAGAGGCUUGUUCUAAACAAAUUCUUUUUCCAGAAUCUAGAACCUAUACAUUGAAAUUAAAAAUGAAAUUGACCAGUUCUUUAGACAUACAGUCCUCUGACUCUCUUUUUUUUAUUAUUAGCAAAUUGAACCCAAAGAAAGAGAAAGGUGAUAGAAUAUAGAUCAGAAGAAACAAUCCACAACAAUAGAAAUGAUAAAGGAGUAUAUAACAAUAGCAAAGACGAAAAAGCUUUGCAUGCAGCAUGGUUCUGGUUACUAUUCUACUGAAGAUAACAAGAAUCUUGAAUUUAAAUCAAACAAAUAAAUGAUAAUCAAAACAAAACAAAAACUAUAAGCAUCACUGAGCAGACAAAAAAUAAGUAUUUUAAGGGCUGGAUACUUAGAAAAGGAGAGAAGUAAGAAAGGAGAGUAUAGGUGUCAACUCACUUUCAUCAUUGAUCUUAGAUUUUUAUGGCUUUAGAGGCUCCACACAAGAAACCAAGCUCCUGGACCUUGUGAAGUGGGACCUCUAAUAGAAAAUACUCCACUGGUAGCUAGAUCCAAAAAGGGCCUCUCCCUCAUUGUAAAAUUCAGCUAUAAUCUACAACUACUCUCUCCAUUCCCUACUGUGGAUCUGCAAAGAAAAUCAAUCCUCUCAAAUCUUAGCAGUGAAUUUAAAGGGAUAAAGCAGUCUCAGAAUGCUUGGGCAUAUGUUGGCCCUCCAAAACCUGAUGGUUUCCAGAAGUUACCAUUCAUCAGUAUUACAUAGAGAUCUUAUUAAAGCAGUUUGCAGAGACCUACUGCAAAGGUACUGAUUCAGUAGAUCUAGGUAGGUUCUGAAAAUUUGCAUUUCUAAAAAUUGCCAGAUAAUGUUAAUAUUGCUGGUUCAGAAACAGACUUUGAAAAUCACUACCUUAGGUAUUUCAGCCUAAGUGUAUAUCAUCUUGCACAAACAUUCCCAAGCUUGAAGUUAAUUGACUGACCUAGACAGGCAGUGCCUUCAAAUAGCUUGAAGAAACAAACACUAAACCUCCUUAGAGCAGAAACGACAGAAGAACAAAUGCAAAGCAAAAGAAGAAAGAGGAAGAGGAGAGGGAGGGGGGAAAAGGAAGCAGAAGAGGAGGUGGGAGUCAGAAAAGCAGAAUAUUUAAAGUAACAGUUGCUGAGAAUUUUGCAAAUUGAAUGACAAAAUUAAUUUUGCAAAACAAAUAUAAAGAUCAUGGUCCUGUUUUCCAAAAUCAGGUUUUAACACAUAAUAGAAUAAAUGUCCAGUAAUUUUUUUUUUUGAGAUGGAGUUUCAUUCUUGUUGCCCUGGCUGGAGUGGAAUGGCACUAUCUUGGCUCACCGCAACCUCUGCCU